UGGGGCCCAGAUCGUUUACCGUGAAAAAAUUAGAGUGUUCAAAGCAGGCAGAUCCAAUUUUCUGCCACCGAAUACAUUAGCAUGGGAUAAUGGAAUAGGACCCUGUCCUCCUAUUUUCAGUUGGUUUUGGCAGCGCGAGGACUAGGGUAAUGAUUAAUAGGGAUAGUUGGGGGCAUUAAUAUUUAAUUGUCAGAGGUGAAAUUCUUGGAUUUAUGAAAGAUUAACUUCUGCGAAAGCAUCUGCCAAGGAUGUUUUCAUUAAUCAAGAACGAAAGUUAGGGGAUCGAAGACGAUCAGAUACCGUCGUAGUCUUAACCAUAAACGAUGCCGACCAGCGAUUAGGAGACGUUGAAUACAAAACACCACCAUCGGUGCGGUCGUCCUUGGCGUCGGUCUUUCGGGGCCGGCGCGGGGACGGCUUAGCCCGGUGGCACCGGUGAAUGACUCCCCUAGCAGCUUGUGAGAA
rnacentral:rRNA from 1 species